CAGGGCGAUAGCCCAGGGCCCAAAUUUUGUGGCAGUAGAUAGGGGGCCUAAAUUUGAUGGCAGUAGACCGGAAAAAAAAAAAAGUAGUCUUUCUGUUAGGAACAUGAGAAAAGGAAAAGCAAGAGUGCAAUUUUUAAUUAUAUUUUGCAUUGAUGGAAUGAUGGGCAAUUGUUUAAUCUAAGCACUAAGCAGCAAAAGUGAAGGGAAUGUCUCUUGGGCAGUUCACUUGUGGCAGCAUAUAGGGGCUGCUGCAAGCGUGCAAUUAAACAAAACAGCAUGAGCAAAAAAGAAGGAAGACACUCAAGACAGCAUUGGAUUUUCUCUUCGGCAGAUUCCUUAUUUAUUUCCUUUCUUCAUCUUCAUUCUUCAAAUUCCUUUCUUCUUCCUUGCUGCAGCCUGCAAGUCUGCAACUUGCCAACUUGAUGCAUAAAAACGAAUUUCCAACUGCAAUUUGUGAGAGCAGUAAAGGCAAGUUGCCAGGAGUCCUACAAAUCACUCAAGGAGGGAGGCGUUGACAGCAAAUUAGAUUUCUCAUAUCCAGGUUCUAUACUUCUAUUGUUCGAUUGAUAUUUUUCCUUUUGUUUUUUAUAAAUGUUUCCUAAGAAAUAUGUUUCUGGUAGUGAAAAAAGAAAAAGAAAAAAACAGCAAGAAGAUUUUAUAAGCUCCCAAAGAGGUUCUUUAGAUAAAUUUUUUAACAAAAGAUGUGUUUCUUCGGAAAAUCAAGGUGAAAAUGAGGUAACCCAAGGAGUUCAACAUAUAGAUGAGAACGAAAAUGAGGUAACUGAUAUAGGUGAACAUGAAAAUGAACAAACAGAAAAUAUGGAAGAGACAAAUGUGCUUGAAAGUGAGAAUAUAGGUGAACAUGAAAAUGAUCAAACAGAAAAUAUGGAAGAAACAAAUGUGCUUGAAAGUGAGAAUAUUGAAAUAAAUCGUGUGAGUGAACCUUUAGAAGGUACAAUACCUUUGAAUAUAUAUGAUCCUAGAGUUUGGGAAAGUUUAGAUGGAAAAAUGAGAGAUAU